rnacentral:rRNA from 1 species
UACGUAGGGGGCAAGCGUUGUCCGGAUUUAUUGGGCGUAAAGAGCGUGUAGGCGGCUAGAUAGGUCCGUUGUGAAAACUCGAGGCUCAACCUCGAGACGUCGAUGGAAACCAUCUGGCUAGAGUCCGGAAGAGGAGAGUGGAAUUCCUGGUGUAGCGGUGAAAUGCGCAGAUAUCAGGAAGAACACCCGUGGCGAAGGCGGCUCUCUGGGACGUGACUGACGCUGAGGCACGAAGGUCAGGGGAGCAAACGGG